CCCUAAUCCUCUUCCACUAUAGUCAUUGUUUGGACUCAUUCCCAGCACAUGGAGCUCAGCUGUUACCUCUGGAGUUUAAGAGCUAGCCUGCAUCACAGUCAACUUAAAUUAAUGAAUCCCCAACCUGGUUUAUAAUGUUGGGAACUGCUUAGGAAGUGGAAGCCAAGAGAUUGGUGGCCCCAAGUUAGGAGAAAUUCAAGAAGGUAGGUUGACCACAUUGGGUGGGUGAAGAUGGAGUACUAGAGUCUUGGUAAAGCCAGUCUGUCCUCCCCAAACAGUAGCCAGGAGGCGCUGCAGGCUGGGACAUGCCCUGAAACUGCUCUUGGCUAAUGGCUCCUCUCACUAAAGCAAAGUAAGUAAGAGCUGGAGACUGUCUGGAGGAGGAAUGGAAGGAAAGGAUGACACAGGAAACUUCAGAGGAGGCAAAGCAAAGUAUUUGGUUGAGUAACCCCUCCCCACCCCAACAUCUAAGGCGAGCAAGGUGACAAAGACAAACAGUCAGGGAGAACAUCAGCAAAACCUACACAAUUAAGGUCUUACCCCCUCCCAGCUUCAACAAACAGACAGCACAAAACCAAAAUAAAGUGUCAGUGAGAGGUAAGGCACUUUCUUCUCUGUGGUGUGGGUUAACUCAACAGCCAUUUAUUCUAUUAACUGCUGAGCAAAUAAUUAUACCAGAGAUAGAGAUGAACCAAGAUGUGUCCCUGACCCCUAGGAAUUAACUCUCUGAGAUUUUUCAGAUAAAAAGUGCAGCAAUGAAGGAGUUCCUAAGGGUAGAAGAAGCACUCCAGUCUCUUACCCAGGGACCGUGGCUCGUGUCUUCACUCUCUCCAGCCCCACUGCGUGCCUGAGGGUUGUCUUUGGUCACCUUGCCAGGAAAGAAUUCAGUAUGGAUCAUUGGUCAUCAGGCCAAAUAUGAUGGGAAGGGAAGAGAGAGGAGAAGGCAUUCUAGACAGAGACCAAGCUUACAUUUUAGAUGGGUCAGUCAUUCUAAUAAGUUGGAACAUCUGCGUCACUUCAAAGGCUCUGACAACUCCACCUCGUUCCAGUGGCUAAAGUGUCCACCAUCACGGUCGGGACUUGUGCGUGGACGUGCUUCCCAGAGACGAUCUGCUGCUUGGGCAGAACAGUCCAUACAGCUUCAGUAGGAGGGUUCCGAUGAGCUGAGAAUGGAGACUUGGUGGAUGCCCACUAUGGUUUUCCCACCUAAUUACUUUGGAUCUAACUUGGCCACUUCAACGAUCACAAUUCCUGAUAUACAGAUGGAUGGGACCGGAAAGUUAGCUCCAGCUCCAGAAAAAUUAAAGAAGCAAGGAUGAACCUGGGGCCUCUUUCUCAUCAUGGAGCACUAACAGAUACUCAUCAACUGUAAGGACACAAACAUGCUCAGCACACAUGGACACAAAUUUCUUUUUCUUUUCUGAUGAGAUGGGUCAGAGUUUUCAUAGCUGCAUUCUAGGUCAUGGAAUAGGGUUUCUCAUCCUCAGCACUACUAACAUUUCGAGCUAAAUAAUUCUUUGUUAUGAGGGUCUGUCCUGUGUAUCAUAGGAUUUUAGUAGCAUCCAUGGCAUUGACCCAUUAGAUGCCAGUAGCACCACCCAAUUGUGAAAACCAAAAACAUUUCCACACAUUGUCAAAUUUCCCCUGGGGUACAUAAUCACCCCUCAGUGAGAAACACGGUCUUAGAAUUACUCUCAAAUAUCUGCAGAUAAAACAAACAAACAAACAAACAAACAAACAAACACUAUGUAGUAGACACCUUGUAUUUUUACCACCAAGCCAUCACUCACUUUUAUUUCAUUAAUGGCACCCUGACUUCCCUGUGCAGAACUUCCCCCUUCUGCUCUUAGCCCACAGGGUUUGGAUGAGGCUGACUAUAACCAGGUACCACAAGCAACAUGUUACCUGGGCGUAAUCGAUGGAAGUACAGCAUCCCCUUGGCUUCAGUGAUCUGUUCAGGACUGACCAUGUGGUCCAAUUCAUGACUGUGAGAGUCAGGUCUAGGACUUUGAAUUCAACUGUUGGACUUGUACUUAUGAGAGUAACAGCCUGAGAUUGCUGGCUGCCAUCUUGUCACUUUUAAGAGGAGAACUCUCUGAGAAAGUAGCCACCACAGAAUGUAGAACAAGAAAAGGUCAGAGGCUAGAUCCUGAUGCUUUAUCUGAGACCAUAAAUCCAGCAAUGUUUGAUGUUAGAUGUCUCCCCAAACUUUCUGUUCAUAUGAGUCAAUUGAUUUCUUUGGGCCUUAAGCCAUUUUGUGUUGUGUUUCCUUUCACUUGCAAAGAAUCCUUAUUGCAGUAUUUGAUGAAAUUUCAUCUGUUUGCAAUCUAUAAUCUUGUUUCCCCUUCCCAAUAUCCAUAGCCUUUUUCUGCAUGAGGGUUAUAGAUUACCUGGAAGAUUGUACUUUUCUCUUUGCUGGUUUCUCUACCUUUUGAAAGACAAGGAUGAGGAAAUGGAGAGGAGUUCACUUUAGAGGAAGUGGGGCCCUCAUACUCUGGGCCUGGAGAGUAGAGUGAACUGAUAGGUAAAGAAACAGAUGGUAUGAUAGUUCAUUUUACAUAUCAGCUUGACUGGGCCAUGGAGAUUCCCAUGGAGAUCCCGUUAAACAUUAUGCUGGGUGGCCUGUGAAGGUGUUUCUGAAUGAAAUUAACAUUUCAAUGGGUAGACAGAGUAAAGCAGGUUGCCCAUACCAGUGUGAGUGGGCCUCAUCCAACCUAUAGCAGGCCUGAAUAGAACAAAAGGUAGAGGAAGGGAGAAUUCAUUCUCUCUGCCUAUCUUCAAGUUGGGACCUCCCUUAGUCUUCUCCUGAUUUUGGAUUUGAACUGGGACUGGGACUGGAAGUUAGACCAUAUGCUCUCCUGUUUCUCAACCUUCAGACUCAGGCUGGAACUGUAACGUUGGCUCUCCUGGGUCUUCAGCUGGCUGACUGCAGGUCUUGGGACUUCCUAGUCACCAUAACUGUGUGACCCAAUUCCUUAUAAUCAAUUAUCUAAUCAAUCAAUCCUAUUGGUUCUGUUUCUCUGGAGAAUUCAGACUAACACAGAUAGGUUUGGGCAGAACAAACGUAAGGAGGAAAUCCAGGCCUUCCUCUGACUCAAGCUUUCUCUCUCUUACUUAUUUAUACUUCUCUGAUGUAGGUGAGGUUGCCUUAUUAAUUAACCUUUGCCACUACGUUGAGAAAGGGAUCCUAGUGGUUUAGAAAGUUUCAGUGAAAUGAGCUAGGCAGGUAGACACAGGCUUUUAAUAAAAUCUUUAUGUAAUUGGGAAAGACUUGGUAAUUUCUGGAUUUGCUUUUGGGGGUACCUCUUAAAUCUUUAUAUCAUACCUACAUGUGACCAGAACUGCCUGGACAGAAGUGCCUAAGCUAAAAAAUAAAAUUAAAAUAUUUAGAUUUAAAUUUUAUAGAUUCCUCCCAAAGCACUGUCUUUAUUUGUGGAUUAUGGGCAGCUACUAUUAUAUUUAGAAAGACUGAUGGUUACUCAUAAAAUCUAACAUGGUGUCCUACGUCUAGAGCAGUAACAUUAAUGUAUUUUGAUACUCCCAGAAGAGGCAAGGUCCUUGUCACCUAGUUAAUGAACACAUGUUUACACAAUUUUGCAAACAAUUUCAGAGGGUCCAUGGAAUCCCUAAAGAAAUCAGACUGUGAAGAGAAAUCAGGCUGUCUCUAAUACAGUGAGGGGUUUCUUAACAGAUUUUGUCCUCCUCUUUUCAAGUGUUUUACAUCUCUUGACACAUGUUUUAUUUCAGGCAAACUGCUUCAGAAGUUUCAAAGAGCACGUAUAUUGGUUCAGUCCUCAUAGGAUGGAGAAACCACGCAUUUGGGAGUCAGACAGAUCUGAAUUCAAAUUCUGAUCUGUCACUCAGCUGUAUAACUGUAGGGAUGUAUUAUCACCUCUACAAACUUCAGUCUGUUUCCCCAUCUGUAAUAUGAUACAAUUCCCAGCCAUUUCUGAAGUUAAGGGGAGAGACUGGAGUAAAUAAUUCAUAUUCUUUGCUCUCUACUGUGUGGCCUCGCUGAACUUUCAGUUUGACUAAUGAUUUUGCUGAAUUGCCCAAUUGUUCUGGCUUCAUGUAGACACAGCCAGUGGCUAUGAAGUAGAACAAGGUUGAAAACAAAAUCAUGACGCCUUCAAGUGUAGAGUGUAGGCGUGUGUGUAUGUUUGCGUGUUACAGCGGCUGGCUGGAUUCCCUUGUUUGCAUUACCCACUCAUUCCAGGCAUCUGGUCCUUUCUGUUUCUGUCUAGGUGCCGAGCUCAUGAUGCCCCACCCCAACUACUACUAUCUUCACACAACAAUGCCUCCUAAAGAAGCCUCAAAAUCUUUACUGUGGCAUUUAGUACAUUUCUGUCCUUGUUUUUCAAGGGUAAUCAUUUGCAUUCUGUGGGCAUCAAAGAGCGUCUGCUAUAGAACAUGUUUAUAAAAUUGAAUCCUCAUUUAUCCAAAUCCCCUGUCUCUACACAUACCCCUAAAUUCUCUUGGCUUCUCCUUCCUGCAGGAGCCAUGGUUUAGAUACCUAAUUGGCCCUUACUCCUUGCUCCUUAUGUAUUAGUUUCCUAAGGCUGCUGUAAAAAAUUACAACAAACUGGGGUCUUAAAACAACAGAACUUUGUUCUCUUGUAGUUCUAAAAGUCAGAAGUCUGAAGUUGGUAUCACUCACUGGGCUGAAAUCAAGGAGUGUGCUCCUUCAGAAGGAUCUGGGGGAGAAUCCUUCUUUGUUUCUUUCAGCUUCUGGUGGCUGCUGGCAUUCCUCAGUUUAUGGUUUAUGGCCACAUCACUUCAAUCUCUGCCUCCUUUGUCACAUUGCCUUCUCCUUUGUGAGUGUGUGUGUGUGUGUAUGUGUGUAUGUGUGUGAAUUCUCCCUCUACUUCUGUCAUGUAAGGACAUAUAUUCUUAGAACCCACCUGGAUAAUCCAGGAUAAUCUUCCCAUCUCCAAUUUCUUAAUUUAAUCAUGUCUUUUGCUAUGUAAGAUAAUAUUCACACUUUCUGUGAUUAGCACCUGAUACUUUGGGUGACAUUUUUCAGCCUAACACACCACAGACAGCACCAAUGAAGGGGUGUGCCCAGGUGGCCAUGUCUAUUCCAUGUGACCCUAUUGACCUGGUCACAGCUGAAUAGUUUGGAGUGGACUCCUGGCUCAGGAGAACGAGUGCACAUGCUGGGUGGAGCCAAUCAGAUCAGGAAUCAACGGCCCAGUUUCAAAUUCCCAGGAAAGAGCGUCCACUAGCAGUUAGGACCCACAUAUUAACAUAGUGUAUAUAGGUCAGGAGAUGGCAUGCUAUAUCCACCGAGGUACAAGCUAAAGGUGAGAGACAGUCAAGGUGCCGGCAGGGUUUGGUCCUGAAUGGAGAGAAUGAAUGAAAUAUUCUAGGAGGCUGGGACAACACAGUCUUCAGCCUUUGAGAAGUGAAAGGCUUUUGGUUCUAGUUCCCUCUAUGAUAAUACACUUUUUGUUUCUCACCCCUGGACAUCCAUGAAGUUAGCUCUUACAUUCUUAAAAAAAAAAAUCCCACCAUAUUUAAAAUCAUUUAAGGUAGCUGCUGUUCUUGGCAACCUUUAGACCCUCAACACAGACACUCUUCUCUGUCUUCCUCAUGGCCUCGUUGGAGCCCCCAGUUCUGCCAAGAAUAAAUUCUCUUUUAUCUUAAACCUCUCCCUACCUCAUCUAGCUUCCCGCCCUAACUGAGACGUCCCCAAUGGCAUCUACUUACAGUCACACUUGCACCCUCUCAUGACUCUAUUAAGGGAGUCAAAUGGAAAAGUUCUUCUUCCCACCUUUUCCACAUCUAGAUCAGUCACUCUCACCAGUGUCCCCUUCUUAUCACCUGAAAUUCAAGCCAUUCAUCUGUUUAGUUCUUACCAAAUAAUCACUGCUAACAGCCCCUUUGCACCAGAACUCAUCUCCACUUCUUAGUUCAUUUUAACCCUGGAUUUAUCCUCUUUUCUCUUUACAUCCCCUGCCGUAAUCCUCAUUGACAUCAACAUCCAUUUUUAAUGACCCAGUAACUCUCUUUGAUCUCCCAGCUCUCAGCCUCCCAGCCUUACUUGAUUUUCAGCUCCACUUCUCAUCUGCCACCCACAAGCAGGGCUGCAUCCUGAGAUCUUGUCAUCCCCUCCACACAGACCUGCAAGAGCAGUUGUAUUGGACAUAAAUUUUGCUCACCUCUAAUUUCCCCAACUGCUCUCUUUGUUUCUCUCUCUUUUUGUGGCUUCCCCAACUGUGCCUACUCACUCGUUGCAUCAGUUUCCUAGGGCUGUGGUAACGAAUUACCACAAACUUGGUGGCUUAAAACAAUGAGGUUUUCUCUCACAGUAGUGGAGGGCAGAAGUUUGAAAUCAAGGUGUGGGCAGGGCCCCUGGGGGAGGAUUUGUUCCUUGUUUCCUAUAGCUCCUGGUGGCUCCAGGUGUUCCUUGGUUUGUGGCAGUGUCACUCCAAUCUCCAUCUCAGUCUUCACACAUCCUUCUCCUCUGUGUUUUCUCCCUUCUAUUAUAAAAACACUUGUCAUUGGAUUUUGGGUCUAGCCUAAUGCAGGAUGAUCUCAAGAUCUUGGAUUUGAUUACACCUGUAAAAACCCUUCAUCUAAAUACUUAUGUUCACUGUUUCCAGGUAGACAUAUCUCUUAGGAGACCAUCAUUCAAACCACUGCACUUCUUCAGUUUCAAAUUUGAAAAAUACACCACACUGUAGGGCCUGGGCUCUGGCUUCCUACAGCCAACAAAAGGACAGGUGAUGCAAUCUGGAAAUGAGGAAAUAACUCCCAACUGAUGGACCUUGACCAAUGGGAAACAAGAAAAGGAGGAAACCAGAUGGCUAAAUCUCUAGCCCCCUCUCAUGGACCUCUUACAAUAUUUCUGAAGAAUGCUUGUGUGCUAGUGAGCAAGCUGGCCUUCCAAUCUACCCCACCUCUCCCAAGCUCUUCAGGAAGUAAAUCCCCACCAAGUAACAUCUUUCCACUUUCCUUACCUCACCUCACUUCCUAUUGCCCCUCAUGAGCACCUCCGUGGGCUUGUGCCUCUCAAAUAAACUGUUAACACCUUA